AGUGAACGCUGGCGGUAGGCCUAACACAUGCAAGUCGAACGGCAGCACAGUAAGAGCUUGCUCUUACGGGUGGCGAGUGGCGGACGGGUGAGGAAUACAUCGGAAUCUACUUUUUCGUGGGGGAUAACGUAGGGAAACUUACGCUAAUACCGCAUACGACCUACGGGUGAAAGCAGGGGAUCUUCGGACCUUGCGCGAUUGAAUGAGCCGAUGUCGGAUUAGCUAGUUGGCGGGGUAAAGGCCCACCAAGGCGACGAUCCGUAGCUGGUCGGAGAGGAUGGUCGGCCACACUGGAACUGAGCCACCGUCCAGACUCCUACGGGAGGCAGCAGUGGGGAAUAUUGGACAAUGGGCGCAAGCCUGAUCCAGCCAUACCGCGUGGGUGAAGAAGGCCUUCGGGUUGUAAAGCCCUUUUGUUGGGAAAGAAAAGCAGCAGGUUAAUACCCCGCUGUUCUGACGGUACCCAAAGAAUAAGCACCGGCUAACUUCGUG
rnacentral:rRNA from 1 species